AAUCCAGAGAUGGAUUUGUGCCUUCGGGAACUGUGAGACAGGUGCUGCAUGGCUGUCGUCAGCUCGUGUUGUGAAAUGUUGGGUUAAGUCCCGCAACGAGCGCAACCCUUAUCCUUUGUUGCCAGCGAUUAGGUCGGGAACUCAAAGGAGACUGCCAGUGAUAAACUGGAGGAAGGUGGGGAUGACGUCAAGUCAUCAUGGCCCUUACGACCAGGGCUACACACGUGCUACAAUGGCGCAUACAAAGAGAAGCGACCUCGCGAGAGCAAGCGGACCUCAUAAAGUGCGUCGUAGUCCGGAUUGGAGUCUGCAACUCGACUCCAUGAAGUCGGAAUCGCUAGUAAUCGUGGAUCAGAAUGCCACGGUGAAUACGUUCCCGGGCCUUGUACACACCGCCCGUCACACCAUGGGAGUGGGUUGCAAAAGAAGUAGGUAGCUUAACCUUCGGGAGGGCGCUUACCACUUUGUGAUUCAUGACUGGGGUGAAGUCGUAACAAGGUAACCGUAGGGGAACCUGCGGUUGGAUCACCUCCUUACCUGAAAGAAGC
rnacentral:rRNA from 1 species